rnacentral:rRNA from 1 species
AUGAACGCUAGCUACAGGCUUAACACAUGCAAGUCGAGGGGCAGCAUCAUCAAAGCUUGCUUUGAUGGAUGGCGACCGGCGCACGGGUGAGUAACACGUAUCCAACCUGCCGACAACACUGGGAUAGCCUUUCGAAAGAAAGAUUAAUACCGGAUGGCAUAGUUUUCCCGCAUGGGAUAAUUAUUAAAGAAUUUCGGUUGUCGAUGGGGAUGCGUUCCAUUAGGCAGUUGGCGGGGUAACGGCCCACCAAACCUACGAUGGAUAGGGGUUCUGAGAGGAAGGUCCCCCACAUUGGAACUGAGACACGGUCCAAACUCCUACGGGAGGCAGCAGUGAGGAAUAUUGGUCAAUGGACGAGAGUCUGAACCAGCCAAGUAGCGUGAAGGAUGACUGCCCUAUGGGUUGUAAACUUCUUUUAUACGGGAAUAAAGUGAGCCACGUGUGGCUUUUUGUAUGUACCGUAUGAAUAAGGAUCGGCUAACUCCGUGCCAGCAGCCGCGGUAAUACGGAGGAUCCGAGCGUUAUCCGGAUUUAUUGGGUUUAAAGGGAGCGUAGGCGGGUUGUUAAGUCAGUUGUGAAAGUUUGCGGCUUAACCGUAAAAUUGCAGUUGAUACUGGCGACCUUGAGUGCAACAGAGGUAGGCGGAAUUCGUGGUGUAGCGGUGAAAUGCUUAGAUAUCACGAAGAACUCCGAUUGCGAAGGCAGCUUACUGGAUUGUAACUGACGCUGAUGCUCGAAAGUGUGGGUAUCAAACAGGAUUAGAUACCCUGGUAGUCCACACAGUAAACGAUGAAUACUCGCUGUUGGCGAUAUACGGUCAGCGGCCAAGCGAAAGCAUUAAGUAUUCCACCUGGGGAGUACGCCGGCAACGGUGAAACUCAAAGGAAUUGACGGGGGCCCGCACAAGCGGAGGAACAUGUGGUUUAAUUCGAUGAUACGCGAGGAACCUUACCCGGGCUUAAAUUGCAACUGACUGAACCGGAAACGGUUCUUUCUUCGGACAGUUGUGAAGGUGCUGCAUGGUUGUCGUCAGCUCGUGCCGUGAGGUGUCGGCUUAAGUGCCAUAACGAGCGCAACCCUUAUCGAUAGUUACUAGCAGGUCAUGCUGAGGACUCUAUUGAGACUGCCGUCGUAAGAUGUGAGGAAGGUGGGGAUGACGUCAAAUCAGCACGGCCCUUACGUCCGGGGCUACACACGUGUUACAAUGGGGGGUACAGAAGGCAGCUACACGGCGACGUGGUGCUAAUCCCGAAAGCCUCUCUCAGUUCGGAUUGGAGUCUGCAACCCGACUCCAUGAAGCUGGAUUCGCUAGUAAUCGCGCAUCAGCCACGGCGCGGUGAAUACGUUCCCGGGCCUUGUACACACCGCCCGUCAAGCCAUGAAAGCCGGGGGUACCUGAAGUACGUAACCGCGAGGAGCGUCCUAGGGUAAAACUGGUGAUUGGGGCU